UUGAAUUCAACACAUCGUUGAUGGUGGCAGCAGCAUGAGAGUGCUCUUUUGAUAAACUGCAUUGUGUUGGCUUUAGGCUAUUCCGUGUGCAGUAAUUAGCAUAAUUAGCAUUGCCGACACAGUAGGUCUAGGUCUAUUUCUUAAUUUUAAAGUCAGAAAUGUUAUGACUUAUUGCCUUGUAACUAGCACUAGCAUGGAAACUGAUGAUUAGCAACUUCUCAAGAUCUACAUGCAUGAGACUGCAAUGUGUGCAGCCUAUUGCUAUAACAGGCAACGCUAUAAGUUAAACAUUUGUAUCUGUCUCUGACAUUAACACAACCCUAGUCGGACUUUAUUAAUGAGAACUAAUGAUAUCCGGUGCAUUAUAUUUAUUAUUCUGUGCACCACGUGUGUGCCUCUCGAGCCUUCAGCCAUUCAUCAUUCAUUGGCUGUAUAUGUGUGACAAAUAACUCUUCUAGGUUAUUGAAGACAUACAGUACUUGCUAUGUGAACACCACACUGCAGGGGUUGGUGUUGGAGCCUUCAGCAAGAUCAGACUUGCUAUGUGAACAGCGCUGCAAAGCAUUCUUGACCUGCAACACAGGAGGGGUUGGUGUUGGAGCCUUCAGCCCUGCAGAUCAGGUAACUGAGGACAGACCUGCAAUGUGAACAACACACUGCAGUGCAUCUUUGACCUGCAACACAUCUGUAGGUGCAGGAGGGGUUGGUGUUGGAGCCUUCAGCCCUGCAGAUCAGUUACUGAGGAGGACAGACCUGCUAUGUGAACAGCGCUGCAGUGCAUCUUUGACCUGCAACACAUCUAUAGGUGCAGAAAGGGUUGGUGUUGGAGCCUUCAGCCCUGCA